rnacentral:lncRNA from 1 species
UCCCAUUAAAAAACCUAGGGCCGCCGUAACCUUCUUCUCCACCCUACGGCCACUAACCAACUCCCCUAUUCUCGUCCCCAGCCGCACCUUCUGUUUCUUUUCGAGACUUCGCAGUGCUAAAUUACAGAAAAAGGAGGCAACAAGAGAAGUAUAAUUUUAGCUUCUUUCGUUCAUUCUCACCUAGGGAAAUCGAGUUCAGAUUCCAACAAAAAGUCAAAAAUACAAAAGAAAAAAUAUAUUUUGUUCUUCAUUUUGAAUUUCGGGUUUUGGUUUUAAAACGGAUUUCGCUUAAGGUUGCUGAAGUUGGUUUCGAGUACUUCUGUUACCGAUCGAGGUUUCCGGUUCAAUUGCUCGUUUAAGUAUCUGCUGAUGCGUCGUUAUUGGUUGUUCUUUUGUUAAUCCAGAAUCGAAAGAUUUCGACAGUGAGGUCAAUUUCUCAUCUUAUUCCUAAUUAAUUUUGAGUAUUAGUGCCUACUUGAAUUUUGAGCAUGAAUGAGGUCCUAUUUCAAGCAUGCUAUCAUCUUUCCCUUAAUCUUCAUGUUGUCUGCUUAUAUUAUUGCUAUUGCGAAUUAGUAUGUUAAAAACAGAUACAUCUUUCCCUUAAUCUUCAUGUUGUCUACUUAUAUUAUUGCUAUUGCGAAUUAGUAUGUUAAAAACAGAUAUUUGGUGAAAAAAUGUUGAAAUUGGAUAAAAGUGGGUCGUGGGAUGUUGCGUUAAAAUGAAACAAAAAUUGGAAUUGUAAUAUUUACCACUUUUAUUACUUGUCCAUCUCUAUGAGCAUGCUAGGCCAACAUCAUUUGGG